UUUAAGAUUUCAUGUAUAAAGUAAAUUUUCAGAUUUUUAUAAAGCUUUAAACUUGCUGAAAUUUCAUGUACAAGGGUGUAUUUUAAGGUUUUUAUAAAGGAAAUUUAAAGAACUAUAUACACUAGUAGAAAAAAUGCUAUUUGUAAACUAACAUAAGUUAUGUUAGUUACAACAAGAGUAUUAGUAAUUGACAUAAAUAAUGCGGGUUACAAUAAAUUAUUAUUAGUAUCUUUCAUAAUCAAGGCCAGUUACAUAUAGUAGGUCAAUGAUAAGCUGACUAACUAUUAGUAAUGGGCAUAAAAAAGGUCAGUUACAAAUAAUAGGUCUAACUUUAUUGACUUUAUUAAAUUUAAUGGCCUUUGUUAAAGUCAGUUACAAAUACUUACACGACCUUUUUUUUAGGGAAACAAAUAUUUACACCAGUCACCCUUCUUCCUUUUCCCCAUUUUUUCACAAAAUCCGUAGCUUUUCUCUCUCCUCUCAAAACUAUUCUACAGCUCCUCCAAAAUUUCUUAAAGCUUCUCCAAAACCAAAACUCAUUCUUCAACAAUAUUAUUAAGGAAUUAAAGAAAGUUUGUCUACUUUUGAGAUGCUGGAUUGUGAUAUUUUCGAGCUAAUAAAUUGAAGCUUAUAAUUCUUAAAUCGGUGUCUUGUUGAACAAUUUGCUGGGCUAAAAGAUUCGGUAUGGCUCUUCAAUUUAGGGCCGCAUCAGGGAAUUUGUUGUUGAAGUGGUGACGCUUAGUCUAGCAGAUCACCCUAAUCUUGUGAAAUUAAUUGGGUACUGUGAUAAGGGUAAUCACAGGUUGUUGGUGUAUGAGUACAUGCCACUAGGAUCCUUGGAAAGCCAUCUACAUGAAGGCUCUUGAUUGGAACACACAGAUGAAAAUAGCUGCUGGGGCGGCUAGGGGCUUAGUAUAUUUGCAUGACAAGAUGGAGCCACUUGUAAUAUAUUGUGAUUUGAAAUACUCAAAUAUCUUGCUUGGCAAGGGCUAUCACGUUAAACUGUCGGAUUUUAGGCUGGCCAAAGUGGCUCCAGUUGGAGACAAUACUCAUGUAUCGACUCGGGUAAUGGGUACAUAUGGUUAUUAUGCACCAGAUUAUGCAAUGACGGGUCAGCUGAAUUUUAAAUAAGAUAUAUACAGUUUUGGUGUUGUUUUUAUUGGAGCUUAUCACAGGAAGAAAAGCAAUUGAUAGCACAAAAGACGGGCGUGAACAGAAUCUGGUUGCUUGGGUCAUGUGGUACAAAGCUUCCUCAAAGUCACACAUUUAUUGGUGCAUGCUCAUUAUUUGGUUCCAAUGAUUGUAGGCUCAUUUGUUUUGCAAUGGUCGGGGCUUGUAUAUUACUUGUAAUGAUGCAGGCUCAUCAGAAUUCUGUUGCAAUAUCAAGUGCUUAAUGUGAACUGCUGUUAUCCCAUACAGAAGAGUCAAAUUUGUGGAGCAGACAUUGACAAAAUCGUCAAAAUUUGAAUGUUGAGCAUUGUAUCAAUUAACUAACUAGCUUUUUUUAGUUAUAGAUUAUUGUGUUUUUGUGAAUUGUGAGAUAAUUAUUUGUAAUUUGCAAGUACAUCUAUUCAAUAUAAUUUACAAGAUGUCAUUUAAAGUUGGUCUUA